CUCUAAAGUAAUAAUUGGCCACAGCCGGUGCUAGGAAAAAACAUAGUCUCAUAAUAGAUAGAAAACACCUGAAACCAAUCUGCGGCUUCCCAGUAAGAUCUCAGGAGUGGGGAGAAGUAAUGCAAGAUCCCGGAAGUCGGCCAAUGUAUGAGGCUGCAAGUCAAGAGGUCAAGCUGCGCACUUGGUUUUUCACGUCACCCGCUUAGCCGUCUUCCAAGUUGUACUUUCCUUCUUUUCUUUCCUUUUCUUCCUGUUCUGAAGCUUUUUAAUAAGCUUUCACUCCCGCUCUGAAGUUUGCCACGAUCUCUCCUCUGCCUUAUGCCCCUCAGUUGAAUUCUUUCUUCUGAGAAGGCGAGAGUUGAAGUUGCUUGAGACCUGUAUGGAUUUGCCGCUGAGGUAAAUCAGAUCUCUGCCACCGCUAACACCUUUAUGCACAGAACUUCUGAGGAGAAAGAUGAUUCGAAGAAGAAAUGGCCCUGAAAAUCUGAUGAGUCCCCAGUAGGUGUGGCUGUUUAAAACUGCUUCAUAGGCACUGCUGACAACAAAGUUUUCUCUUCCUCUCAAGAAGUAUAACUGGUUGGCUGGCCUCUGGGAUUGGAUGAGAAUAUUCUUGGCUGAGGAAGUCCUCUAAACCUUUUCAAGUCUAUCAUUCAGCUGGCUGAAGUCAAAAGUGCAGUUGUAAAAUAUCAAGAUGCAGAGAUAUCAAUACUUAGAAAUCAACAGUGACUACAUUUGAGAUCUUCAAACAAAUUAAAAGCCAAACUGAAUUUACAAAAUAUAAAACUAAAAAGGUAUGUUAAUAAUGCCCCUAUGAGUUAUGAAGUUAUUUCUUCUUCUAUUUCCAAAGAUAAGAAAUGUUUGAAAUGAUAGCUAGCUCCCUUUGUGCAAUGUGUCAUACAACACAGUAAUGAAAUGAAAAUGGGAUGUUAUCUGUGGAAAUCACCCACAAAUUUCCGUUGUGUUAUCUUUUGAAAAAUUCAAAGGCAAGCAGGAAGUUCUAGUGUGAAAUAAAGAUUUGGUCUUUUUGCAAGCUAAGUGUCCAGGAGAAAGUGUAUGCUUAUUUCCAUACACACAGAAAUAUUUAAGGAACCCAUUAACUAUUAUUGCUGUUCAAGGAGGGGUAAACCAGAAUCUAAUUUGUAGUAUCAAACAAAACAUAUGGUAGAUUGGAGAAGAUAUCUAUACAUCUAAAUCACUUGUGUGGUCAUAAAUAUACAGCCUGAGCUAGUUUAAUAUUUAAUCAAAGGACAUAAUAAUUUAAUUUCUGAGACCAUUCUUUACAUACAUACCAAGGGAAUAGGAUUAAGUUACCUCUAUAGCACCUUUGCAAUAACGUUAGUCUCUAAAUGUUAAAUUCCUUCUUUCCAAAAAUGCUUCAUUAAAGUCUUAAAUGAUAAACAGUUAAAUGAUAAACAGUUUAGUAUUACAUUAUUAUUUUGAGAGAAAUAAAUUUGAGUUGCCUAAAUACAACAUCCACAUUAUAGAAUGUUAAGUUUUAUUAUAUCUAUAGAUAUUUAUGGCAGAAUAUUUUUAUCUUCUAUAUUAGGAACUCAUUUUUGAAAUGACUACACUGAUGCCAAAUUCUGCUUCCUGAAAUAGAAACAGUAUCAAAAGCCCCAAAUGGCUUGGGCAUAAUUAAUCUGAAUCAUAUACUGAAUAAGUGUAGUUAAUUUGAAUUCUCUGUAAAAACACAUUUAAAUUAGGUAUUUAAUAGGGCAUUUGUAUAGACAUUUCUCAAGAGAAGUCAAUGCACAUAGAGUGAUGUGUCUGCAUCUGUGUUUUGAGACUUCAAAAUGAUGUUGUUGAUGAAAGUACACAUAGCACCCGUCAUAACACAUAUGAUUGUGUGUUAUUUCCAUUGUUUAGUUUAUAAUAAGUAAUUUGUUGGAUUGGUUCUGACAGAACCUACAGAAAGCUAAAAAACAAAAUAGUUUGUAACCUCCUAGCUUAACUUUACAGUGCAAAGUAUGAAAGAGCAGGUUUGGAAAAAGAGACAAUAGGUUCAAAGAAAAACAGAUCUUCCUAUAGGGCAAGUUAUUUAGCCUCUGGGAGUCUAAUUUUCUCACCUGUAAAAUGUGGUAGGGGCCAGGCGUGGUGGCCCACACCUGUAAUCCCAGCAUUUUGGGAGGCCGAGGCAGGCAGACCACGAAGUCAAAAGAUCAAGACCAUCCUGGCCAACAUAGUGAAACCCCAUCUCUACUAAAAAUACAAAAAUUAGUUGGGCAUGGUGGCUUGCGCCUAUAGUACCAUCUACUUGGGAGGCUGAGGCAGGAGAAUCGCUUGAACCUGGUAGCGCCAUUGCACUCCAGCCUGGCGACAAAGAGAGACUCCAUCUCAAAAAAAAAAAAAAAAAAUGAAAUAAAAUUGUGACAGGACUGUACCUGGAGGGCUGUAGUCAGGAUUAAAUAGUGAAUCUAAAACAUUUGCCUAAGACCUGAAACAUAGAAUAUACUCACAUGAAUGUUAUGAUAAAAAUGAUGAAGAGGGUAAAUAGGAAAGGAGAGAAAAGAGGCGGGUGGUAUGGAGUGGCUUUAAGUGGUUAGGGUUCCAGUUGCUAAGGCUGUUAAAACAAUUAACCUGAUAUUUGACUUCAGGGCUCUUCUUUCCAUUUAGUAUCUCACUGCAAAAAGGUUUGGGAAUUGUUAUUUUUAAAAAGUGUAUUAUUCAUUCAACAG
rnacentral:lncRNA from 1 species